UAUAUUCUUUCACUUCAAUUAAAAAUAUUAGCAAUAAUGCUCUUGGUGCACUUUAGCAAGGACGCUAACGUGCACACUACUGACUACACCAUGACUCGCCUGAAUAAUAACGCCAGAUCUCUGGCAAAGUUAGUCACACCACACGAUGAAAUUAGCUGCCAACUACCGUCACUUCCUCCCCUCAAAGUUCCAAUCUAUUCGAGAAGAAGUGGGGGAUAAAUUAAUAAGUUUAGAUUCUCCAAGAUCUUUACAUCUGCAGAAUUUUGGGGAUUUGAUUGGACCAUAAGAAAACCGAUGCCUCCAGUUCUUUGCAGUGAAAAUUUCUACGAAUAAUCCCCCUACAGUCAAGCUAGAGUAUGGUGAGAAUCGAGCUAGUCAUAAAUAAAAAUGUUGUCGUAUGUACUGCCAAGCUAAAAGCAAGGUAAGAUUUCUGUUACUAUUGAUGAGGAUGACAUACGUAGCCAAAUAGAGUAUUGGGCAUGCAUUGAUAGGCUAUGUGAUUGGAGAUACCCACUAUAUGAAAUCAAUGGAAGCUUACAUUACGACUAUUUAGAAAUGCCCGAUGAAACCCCAAGUGCUCAGUUAUGAUGAUGGGUACUUUAUAUUUAGUUUUGAUUCAAUUGAGGAAUGUGAUAGAGUGCUAAUGGGAGGGCCGUAUACCUUCUAUAACAAGCCAUUCAUAGUGCAGACAUGGUACAUCGACUUUGAGUUUGACCUAAACUACAUUACAACCAUCCCACUGUAGGUCAUAUUCCCGGGUUUACCUAUGGGGUAUUGGUCCUGUGAAGUGCUGAGCAAGGUAGAAAGUGCUAUUGGCAAGCCAAAGAACACUGAUCAAUUCACUGGCACAAUGGAAAGAAUCUCGUGUGCAAGGGUAUUGAUAGAAACUGAUGUAACAUAGCCAUUACUUGAAGUCAUAGAGAUGGUUACUCCAAUAGGUGUAUUAUAACAACCAGUAGAGUAUGAAUGGAAACCAAAGUAUUUUAGCCAUUGUUUGAAGUUUGGACACACAUCUGAGGGGUGCUACACAAAAUAAGAGACUAUAAAACAUGAGAAGGAGUUUUUUAAGGAAGCACCAAAGAAAAAGAGAAGGAAUAGAAGGAAAAAGAGACCUCAACAACAACAAUGGCAACAUCGAAUGGUGACUGCAGCAGAAACAAAUCAAACUAAGGCAGAUCCUGCCAAAGAUCUCCCGGAGAAAGAGGUAAACACUCACUCAUGUAUCAGGGUUAAUACUGAUGAGGAUAGGCCUAGCACAAGCACAGGGAAUAGGUUUGCCCCUUGUUGCACAUCCCUGCUGAUGAAAACCCUCCAAGGCUGCUUGGGGAGGCCCCAAAUAUAUGAUAAUAUCCACCUGGAAUAUCAAAGGGCUGAGCCACCCCCUAAAACAGAAAGAACUGAAACUCUUUCUGAGGAAACAUAAAAUAGAUGUAGUAGGAUACCUAGAAACUAGGGUAAAGGAAUAGAAGUCUGCAACAAUCCUAAAGAAUUUAGAUGAUGGGUGGAAUAACUACUGCAACUACCCAGCAGCUUCAAAUGGGAGAAUUUGGGUGCUAUGGAAAUCUCAUGUGACUGUAUCUAUCAUCCAGGUGAAAGAGCAAUUCAUACAUUUUUAUAUCAUUGAUGCUAGUAGUAACUUUGCUUCAUAUAUUACAAUUAUCAAUGCAAAAAAUAAUAUCUUAAGAGAGAAAGAAAGCAUGGAGAGAACUUGAGGUGAUAGGAAAUGUCAUACAAGAAGUAUGGAUACUACUUGGUGACUUUAAUGUUGUGAUGUUCUCUGAAAACAGAAUUGGUUCUGUGGUCACUCAGCAGGAGAUUCAGGAUUUCAAAAAAUGUGUAGACCACCCCCAAUUAACAUCUAUACAUGCAAAAGGUUCCUACUACACUUUCUGCAAUAAGCAAGAACAGGAACACAGGGUUUACUCAAAAAUUGACUGGGCACUAAGGAACUAUUCUUGGCUACAAAACUAUGAAUAUGUGGAGGCUGAAUUCCUUCCACCUGGGGUGUCUGACCACUCUCCAAUUAUUAUCCAACAUCCAGUUCAACAUCAGACAAAGCCAAAACCUUUCAAGCUUUAUACCACUAUAAUAGAGCAUAAAAAAUUCCCUGACAUUAUAGUAAACACAUGGAAGAAAUACUUCUCAAGCAUAUGUAUGUACGAACUGGAUCAAAAACUCAAGGCCUUGAAGAAGGAUUUGAAGGGAUUGAACAACUACCUUUCUUCUUAUGCCCUAAAGAUACAGCAAACCAUAGAGAAGCUUAAAAUAGUACAAAUCAGGUUGAUUAUAGAACCUAUAAACCAGAUAUGGAUACAAGAGGAGAAAACACUCAUACAGGAUCUAUUUCAAUGGAACCUUGUUGAGGAGAAAGCUCAAAGACAAAAGUCCAGGGUUAUAUGGAUAAAGUGUGGUGAUGUAAACUCAAAAUACUUCCAUGCUCAGUGUUUCUUACUUCCUUUAGAUUGUUAUAUAUGCUCUUUGUGAGUGUAAAGACUUGAUUCGUGUCUCUCCAGAAUCAAAGAAUAUAGAAGAAGUAUUUUCUCCAUUUAUGAUGAUAUAGGUAAUAAACUCACUGAUCCUUUACUUAUUAAGAAGGAAUUCACUAGGUUUUUCUCUGACUUAAUGGGCACAACUGCAACUGAAGUUCCAUGCCCAAACUCUGAGGCGAUUAGAAGGGGGCCUUGUCUCUCAUACUCUCAGAAAUAGGAACUGAUACAAGAUGUUACUGAUCAGGACCCUGAAGAGUAUGCCAGUUGAUAAAGCUCCUAGGAUAGAUAGGUUCCCAGUAGAAUUUACUGGCUAGUGGACUAUUGUAAAGACUGAUGUGCUAAAGACAGUUCAUGAAUUAUUUGAGUCAGGAAAAAUAUUGAAAUCAUUUAGCUGUACAAUAGUAACUUUGAUACCAAAAUGUGCAAACCCAUCCAGGGUGAAGGACUAUAAACUUAUAGCCUGCUGCACUACUUUCUAUAAACUGAUAACUAAGAUCCUACUAACAGGAUGAAGAAGGUUAUAGGAUCCAUUAUAGGUCCCCUCCCAAUCCUCUUUUAUCGAGGGAAGGAGUAUUAUUGAUAAUAUCUUGUUCAGCCAUGAACUCCUCAAAUGGUAUUCUAGAAAGGGUCUUUCUCCCAGGUGUGUAUUAAAAGUGGAUCUUAGGAAAGCCUAUGACUAUAGAAUUGACUUUCCUCAAGAUUAUGCUAUCUGAGCUAGGAUUUUCUUUGAAGUACAUAAACUGGGUCAUGGAGUGUAUAAGUUUUGUAUCCUAUUCCUUGGUCCUAAAUUAGGGUCUCACAAAACCUUUUCAAGGGAAAAGAGGUAUAAGGCAAGGUGACCCCAUGUCACCAUACCUAUUUGUGAUAGCAAUGGAGUACUUAAAUAGAGAAAUAAGGUGCAUAGAUAGAGAUAAGGGAUUCCAGUACCACCCAAGAUACAAUAAACUUUUAGUUAAACACAUUUGCUUUGCAGAUGAUCUGCUUAUGUUCUGUAAAGCUGACUUGCCUUCAAUUGUUCUCAUCCAGGAGGGCUUUCAAUAAGUUUUCCAAGUCAUUAGGUUUGCAAGCAAAUUUAGACAAAAGUUUAGUUUAUUUCUCAGGUGUAAAGCCACAGGCUAAACACUAAAUACUUGAGUAUUUGGGCUAUAAGGAAGAGGGACUACUUUUCAAAUAUCUGGGUGUACCACUCUUAUAAAAAAAGAUCACUAUUGAUCAAUGUAUGCCCUUGGUAGAAAAGAUAGUUGACAAAAUGACAUGUUGGAGUACAAAGUUUCUCUCAUAUGUAGGAAGGAUUCAACUAAUUAAGACUGUGGUGUUUGGUAUUCAGACAUGCUGGGCCAGAUAUUAUUGCUUCCUAAGAAAAUUAUGAAGAUGAUAAAUGGGUUGUGUAGAGUUUUUCUAUGGACUGGGAAUAUACUGACUUCAAUAAAAGCACUGGCGGCUUGGGACAAGAUCUUCCUUCCAAAGGCUGUAGGUGGGAUAAAUGUCAUGAACUUAGGAUUUCGGAAUGCAGCAUCUAUAACAAAACAGCUAUGGGCCCUUGCUGAAAAAAGGACCGUCUAUGGAUAAAAUGGGUUCAUAGCUACUAUAUAAAGAAUGGGAGUGUAAAGUCUUAUUCAAGUCAUAAAAUUCUACAUGGGCUAUUAGAAAGAUCGUUGAGUAAAGACAGUAGGUCAUGAGGACCUCUGGAUUACAAGGUGACUUAAGUACUAGACUGGCAGCAUGUGUCAAAGGCUCAAAGUUCCUGAUCAAAAAGCUUUAUGAUGCUAUGAUACCCCAAUACCCAAAAGUCCCAUGGAAAGGUAUUUUUCUACACCCAUGUAUUCACCCUAGACACAAGUUCACACUAUGGCUAGCACUACAACACAGGCUGCCCACAGUGGAGAGACUAGCAAAAAUUAGAAUACAAGUACCAGCUGAUUGUGUACUCUGUAGAAGGGCUGAUGAGACCCAUGAUCACCUUUUCAUGAACUGUGAUGUCAUUCGAAGACUAUGGAGAAGACUACUAUUAUAGAUAAGAGUGCAAAGGAAUAUAGGUGACUGGAACACUGAACUAGAAUGGUUGGCCACACAAGCAAAAGAAAAAUCAGCAAAAUGCUCCAUCAUCAGUAGUGUUUUUGCGAUGGUGAUCAAUAUAAUAUGGAGAACCAGGAACCUGAUCAGAUUCUAAUAGGGCAGCUAUGCUGAAGACCAGGUUUGUGGGGAAAUAGCUAUCUAUGUCCUUAUCCCGAGUCAAACUUAUCGGAAUUGGCAAGUUCCACUACAACAAUAUCCUGUUGUACCAUGAAAGAGUCAGUUGACCCCUGAUACAAAGCCUAAAUUGAUGACUGAUUCAAUAUGGGACGUGGCUGUGUUGAUGAACGCAAUCUGGGAUCUUCAGAGGACGGUUCAUAAUUUACACUGGGAGUUGGCCGUCACUAGAGCAAAGGUGAUUAGCGAGAUACGUAGAAUUGUGGGUCUUCUGCCAAAUGGCUUUUCGGAUUAUGACGAGAAUAAUAAUAAUAAUAAUAAUAAUAAUAAUAAUAAUAAUAAUAAUAAUAAUAAUAAUAAUAAUUAGGGUUAUAUUUUUUUUUUAAAAUAAUAGUACGUUUUAUGUAGUACGUAUUAUCUUGUAGUUUUCAUUAUAUGUAGUAAUAUGUAAUUAGUUUUGGUCGGAUCUAGUCUGUUUCAAUGAAUACCUUUUUUUUAUUAAUGCAAAAAAUCUAUAUUUGCUUCU